GACGAACGCUGGCGGCGUGCUUAACACAUGCAAGUCGAACGGAAAGGCCCUGCUUUUGUGGGGUUCUCGAGUGGCGAACGGGUGAGUAACACGUGAGUAACCUGCCCUUGACUUUGGGAUAACUUCAGGAAACUGGGGCUAAUACCGGAUAGGAGCUCCUGCUGCAUGGUGGGGGUUGGAAAGUUUCGGCGGUUGGGGAUGGACGCGCGGCUUAUCAGCUUGUUGGUGGGGUAGUGGCUGACCAAGGCUUUGACGGGUAGCCGGCCUGAGAGGGUGACCGGCCACAAUGGGACUGCGAUACGGACCAGACUCCUACGGGAGGCAGAAGGGGGGAAUAUUGCACAAUGGGCGGAAGCCUGAUGCAGCAACGCCGCGUGCGGGAUGACGGCCUUCGGGUUGUAAACCGCUUUCGCCUGUGACGAAGCGUGAGUGACGGUAAUGGGUAAAGAAGCACCGGCUAACUACGUG
rnacentral:rRNA from 1 species